GGAGGUUCUUCUCGCGCUUUCCAUGGUAAAAAGGAUGGCGUGAUUCUUCCAACCCAUGAGAUUGGAUAUCUUUUAGAUUCCACAAAAGGCAUUGGUGGUGACCUAAAUUAGAAUGAACAAACGUCUUUCUUUUUCUAGAAUGGAAAGGUUUGCAAAUCUUGCACGCAACCCGCGCUCUCUCAGCAGCAUGUAUGAGCAACCUGGGUUUAAUUCAUGUUCUUUCGGGGGUUGAAACCUACUUCCGAUGGAGGAUGGAGAGUUGAGGUUGAGGUCAUGUCAGAGGGUGCACUACUGUGUCCAAGCCAACCGUAAUUGUUGCCCUAGUGUCGAAUGGGGUAAUUUACUUGGACUGGCACUGCAUGGUGGUACGGGCAGGUACCAAAAGUCCAGACUAUUCCUGAGCAUCCAGAUGAAGACAUGAUGUGUCAAGGAGGAGUCAGAUGCGUCUCCUCCUCAAAGCUCAGAGACCUCACUAAUACAACCCUGCUUGACACAACGGAGAGAAGAUGAGUGUUGCUUGACAGUUAAUGCAUUUUUUAUACAUUUCUUUGAAAUGUUACUUCUGUCAGUAUAUGUUUGACCUUAUUGCCCCACAGUUUAUAUGAUUGCUCUUUCCCCCAUCCAUAAUCAAUUUAUGAUGUGUGUGAUAAAGUUAAAGCGGUUACUGUUUUAAAAAAACGCAAGAUGGUUGGUUCACUCACCAAAAGUGGUUUGGCAGUCUUAAUAACUUUAGAAUUAAUGAAAAUGAAACAUUCUUAAACCAAAGUAUAAGUAAGAGAAUUUAGGCUGAGUCCCAAAUUACCCCCUUCUCCUUCCCCAGGCACUUCGGGCCUCCAUUUGCUUGUUCACAUGCCCCCACCAUUUGCACAAAUGUCCCAAAGCUGAGGAAGUGAAAAUUAUUGAGUGUGUAUGGGCUAAUUAGGCCCUUCGAUAGCCUCUGACCAAGCCAGCAAGGCUGCAGGCUCCAGAGCAAAAUGCUAUUCCAACGGCAGGUAUCCUAGUGGUUAGAGUGUUAGACUUAUAACCAAAAGGUUGCAAGAUCGAGUUGACAAGAUAAAAAUCUGUUGUUCUGCCCCUGGUCAUAGGCUGUCAUUGAAAAUAAGAAUUUGUUCUUAACUGACUUGCCUAGUUAAAUGAAAAACACAGAAAUACACCCCUUCAAAUUGGUGGAUUUGGCUAUUUCAGCCACAUCUGUUGCUGACAGGUGUAUAAAAUCCAGCACACAGCCAUGCGAUCUCCAUAGACAAACAUUGGAAGUAGAAUGGCCUUACUGAAGAGCUCAGUGACUUUUAAUGUGGCACAGUCAUAGGAUGCCAUCUUUCCAACAAGUCAGUUUGCCACAUUUCUGCCCUGCUAGAGCUGCCCUAGUCAAUUGUAAGUGCUGUUAUUGUGAAGUGGAAACAUCUAGGAGCAACAACGACUCAGCCGCAAAGUGGUAGGCCACACAAGCUCACAGAACUGGACCACCCGAGUGCUGAAGCACAUAGUGCGUAAAAAUCAUCUGUCCUCGGUUGCAACAUUCACUUCAGAGUUCCUAACUACCUCUUGAAGCAAGGUCAGCACAGUAACUGUUGGUCAGGAGCUUCAUUAAAUGGGUUUCCAUGGCCGAGCAGCCACACACAAGCCUAAGAUGUUUAACUGUUACUGAGAUUUAUAUCUUGUAAGGUCCCCCUCCAAAGACAUGCUACAUUUUGGGAAUAUCAAUUUUUUUUCUCUCACUCUAGUGCAGUAUAACUGUUUUAUACAGCAUUGCAACCAAUCAUUUAUACCAGCAUUUCUUUAGAAAGUUUACACCAGUCACGCUUCGAUCAGACCAACAGCAUAAUUGCAUCAAUGCUGCGUAAUAAAUUCUGAAGUCAAUCUUUUUUCAUUGUGUAAUCCAAAAUUGUUAUUGGAGAUGUGUUCAACAAAAGUUCAACAUUCACCUUUUGCUACUAUUUCUGUUA
rnacentral:lncRNA from 8 species